rnacentral:rRNA from 1 species
GACGAACGCUGGCGGCGUGCUUAACACAUGCAAGUCGAACGGAAAGGCCCUGCUUUUGUGGGGUGCUCGAGUGGCGAACGGGUGAGUAACACGUGAGUAGCCUGCCCUUGACUUUGGGAUAACUUCAGGAAACUGGGGCUAAUACCGGAUAGGAGCUCCUGCUGCAUGGUGGGGGUUGGAAAGUUUCGGCGGUUGGGGAUGGACUCGCGGCUUAUCAGCUUGUUGGUGGGGUAGUGGCUUACCAAGGCUUUGACGGGUAGCCGGCCUGAGAGGGUGACCGGCCACAAUGGGACUGAGAGACGGACCAGACUCGUACGGGAGGCAGCAGUGGGGAAUAUUGCACAAUGGGCGGAAGCCUGAUGCAGCAACGCCGCGUGCGGGAUGACGGCCUUCGGGUUGUAAACCGCUUUCGCCUGUGACGAAGCGGGAGUGACGGUAAUGGGUAAAGAAGCACCGGCUAACUACGUG